rnacentral:rRNA from 1 species
UACGGAGGGUGCAAGCGUUAUCCGGAUUCACUGGGUUUAAAGGGUGCGUAGGUGGAUUGGUAAGUCAGUGGUGAAAUCUCCGGGCUUAACCCGGAAACUGCCAUUGAUACUAUCAGUCUUGAAUACCGUGGAGGUCAGUAGAAUAUGUCAUGUAGCGGUGAAAUGCUUAGAUAUCUGGAGGAACACCGGUGGCGAAGGCGGCAUCCUGGACCGGUAUUGACACUGAGGCGCGAAAGCGUGGGGAGCAAACAGG